rnacentral:rRNA from 1 species
GUGCUAAGCCGUAAGGCGCCGUAUACGCACUGACGCCUGCCCGGUGCCGGAAGGUUAAGGGGAAGGGUUAGCUGAGGUUCGCCUCAGCGAAGCUUUGAACUUAAGCCCCGGUAAACGGCGGCGGUAAGACGAGAGUAGUUGCCGCCCUAGACAGGUAACUGUCUUGACAACAACUCUGCUAUUUGCUGGAAACCCCGUGUAUCCGGCGGUACUCGUUCAUGUCACAGACCCUCAUUAGGUUGAAGACAUGAGCAGUGAAAAUCCGUCCGGUGCGGACAAUCAGCAGGAAAGACUCGUUGCUGAGGUUCAGUUGGUGCUUCAGAACCCCGACUGAACGUCAUCUUGGCGUCGAGAAUCCUCAGAGGCCAUACGCAGAGCUCCUCUUCUGAAGCAGGAGGAUGAAGAUAUGGUCCAUGCCCCAUAGCGAUAUGGGGAAGACGGUGCAGAACUAUAACCGUUUAAGCCUAGCUACCAAGCUGGGCGGUUGGAAAACUCGGCUAUAUGCUGGAACAUCCGAGUAUCCGGCGGUACUCGUUCAUGUCACAGACCAUCAUUAGGUUGAAGACAUGAGCAGUGAAAAUCCGUCCGGUGCGGACAAUCAGCAGGGAAGGCCGAAAGGACUUCUGACCCCCGACUAUGUCAUUGGGUUCGUCGAUGGAGAAGGCUGCUUCAGUGUAAGCAUUCGACCUCAUCCGACGGUUACCUACGGCACGGGAUGUGUGGUUGGAACUGUUUUCGCAGUUUCACAGCACCACGACAAUCUUGACGUCUUGAAAGAGCUCAAGCGGCACUUCGGAAUCGGCAAGAUCCGAUCCAAGGGUCCGUUGAGCCGAGUCAUGGUCUAUAACGUGACGAAGAGAGACGACCUGAGGUCAGCAAUCAUUCCGUUCUUUGAACGGCAUCCACUUCGAACCUCGAAGCAGCAAGACUUCUUGAAGUUUCGAGAGAUCGUUUACCUGAUGAGCGAGAAAGCCCAUCAGACCGAUGCCGGUUUUCGCAGGAUCGUGGAACUUGCUUUCUCCAUGAACCGACGCGGAAAGCAAAGGAGAUACACGAUUGAGCAAGUCCUUCCGGAACCCUCAGAGACUGUACGCCGAGCACUCGAGAUAACAGAAUCGAGUGAUGAUCCAGUCCGAACCUCAUGGCGACAUGAGGAGGACGACAGAAAUGAUCGUCCCGCCACUCAAGCUUUCUUCGAGUGGGGGUAACAGAAUGCCUAAGGUAGAAGAAAUCCUCUUGCUGUGCAGGCGAGAGGUUGCUGCCCCUCCCAGCGGUGACGCUGGUGAGUGCAGUCGGCCAAAUGCUGGAAAACCCGGUGUAUCCAUUCGGUACUCGUCGCUUUUUGUCACACCCCGUUUCUAGGGUGAUGGGCAUGAGCGGCAGUGAAAAUCCGAAAGGUGGGUGGCUGACAAGGGCCACGCCGGAAAAUCAGCAGGAAAGACUCAAGACCGCAGGAUGGGUCGUGGGUUUCGUGGAUGGAGAAGGCUGCUUCAGCUGCUCCAUCUAUCGCAAUCACAAGAUGACUCUCAAAUGGCAGGUGCGUCCUGCUUUCGAUGUUGUUCAGGGAGAGUCAAGCCGUGAUGUGCUUGACGAACUGAUUCAUUUCUUUGGAUGCGGAAAGGUCUACAUCAACCGACGGCGAGACAAUCACCGCGAGCAUCUGCUCCGGUACAACGUCUAUCGGCUGGAAGACCUUCGCACAAAGAUCAUUCCGUUUUUCAACGAGAACCCACUGCGAACUUCUAAGCGAGAGAACUUUGAGAAGUUCGCACAGAUCAUCGAGCUAAUGGAACUUCGUCGACACAUGUCGUUCGAUGGAAUCAUCGAGAUAGCGAAGAUCCAGCAAACGAUGAAUCAUCGGAAACCAUCCGAGGUUUUGAGGAUCCUCAGAGACCAUACGCCGACCCUCUUUUGAAUCGCUUUGGAAGAGGAUGAGAUGGUCCGGCCCCUGCGGCGACGUAGGGAGGUCGGCAGAAAUGACCGGCCCCUCUGACUUAGGUCAGAUGGUAACAAUUGCCAGCGAAAUUCCUUGUCGGGUAAGUUCCGACCUGCACGAAUGGCGUAACGACUUGGGCACUGUCUCAACCGGGGACUCGGCGAAAUUGCAAUACGAGUAAAGAUGCUCGUUACCUGCGGAAGGACGGAAAGACCCCGGAACCUUUACUGCAGCUUGGUGUUGGGUUCUGGUAUGCGUUGCGUAGGAUAGGCGGGAGGCUGUGAAGCCCGGACUCCGGU